GAGGUUUUAUUUACAGUCAUGCCGAGAAAAAACAAAGUAAGUUAUUAGUAGAUAGCUAGUGCAUCAGAGAUUAACAAAAAUGAAAGUGGGAUUGGUUUUUCAUUCUCCACCAUUUUGGAUACUUUAUUAUUUAGCUUAGUGUUGGUUCUUCUUUAAAGUUCUAAUUGUUUUAGGGGUUCUGAGUCUGCUAGGGUUGUGGGAUGUUUUUAUCUUUUGAUAUUUGCAACAGAGAUAUGUAAUUUUCUAUCUAUCCCUAUACUCUGUAUACAAAAAUUAACGAAAAACAAAUCAUCAUCUUUGUUUCUUGUUAUUUUCUUCUUUACAAUAUGUAUCUGUCUCAUUAUAAUGGUUUCACAGUGUCGUUUCUUUAGUGUUGUGGUUCUUGUUUCUCAGAGUGACGCUGCUUGUUUUGUCUUUACUUUGUGAGCAUUGUGCAGUGAAUGAAUGGUGCAGGCUUUGCCUGCUUUAUCUUUUGGUAAUUUGAUUGUCUCUACCAUUGUUUUAGGUCUGAUUAGAUGUUCUUAAAGUUCAUGAUAACAUAGUAAUUUACACAUUAGUUUGUUUUCUUUCACUCACAUUGUUUCAAGUCUUGCUACUUGGAAUUUCUCUACUUGGUUUUAGUUCCUAUGUUAAACAAGAAGAAUUUAUGGUUUUCUAUGAAUCAUGUAGGAAUCUUCAUUUGUGUGCUUUGUUUGAAAUUAAUCAUUGUGUUUAUGUUUAAUGUUAUCUCAGUCUAACAUUGUGUUUCUGUUUAAUGUUUGUUAGAUGACCACAUCAAAUGCAACUCCAACUACAAGUACAACUCAACAAACAUAAGUUGUAUCUUCCUCUCAAGAUGCAUCUCACACCAAUUGAAGAUGAAACUGCAACUCCAACAAGUACACCUGAAGCGGCUGAAGUUGGUGAUGGCAAAGCGAAGCAGGGCAAAGUGAGAUCUAGUGUUUGGUUGGAAAUGACAAGGAUUAGUAAAACUAAUGCUCGAUGUCAUCACUGCAAGGGAACAUAUGCUGCUCACAAUAACGUAAAUGGCACUUCUGGAUUAAGGAAGCAUUUGAAUAGAUGUGCAAGUAAUCCCAACAAGAAGAAAGAUAAGGGACAACAAUCUCUAUUGAUGCCACCUCCAAAACUAGGUCAGAAUUGUAAACUUAUUGCUCUGUACACAAAGCUUUUUACAAAAACCCAUUGCUCUUGAUCUUCUAUGUGAUUAUGUACCUGAUGAUGAUGGUGAAGAUACGGAAGUCAUAAUUGAAGCUCUCCUAAAAGCUUGAAGUUCAUUCCUUGAUAAGAAAUGGAAGGUUGAGGUUGUGCUAUCACUAGCCUUAUUGGAGAUGAAUAUGCAUAUUUGUGGCCUAGGAUUGCAAGUGCAGGCUGUGCAUCCAAUACCAUUGUUUGAGAAGUCCCCCAUCAUUUUUUGUUGCCUUUCAUUUCUUGUUGCAGACUUACGGAAGUGUUGUUUUUACUAUUUUGUAAUGUUGAACUUUGAACUGAAGUAUGUAAUGUUGUUUUAAACAUUUGUUUAUUUUGAACUUAAGUUGUAAUGUUGAACUUUGAACAGUCAAUUUU